CUCAAAGGAAUUGACGGGGCCCGCACAAGCGGUGGAGCAUGUGGUUUAAUUCGAAGCAACGCGAAGAACCUUACCUGGGCUUGACAUACACCAGAUCGGCGCAGAGAUGCGUUUUCCCUUGUGGUUGGUGUACAGGUGGUGCAUGGUUGUCGUCAGCUCGUGUCGUGAGAUGUUGGGUUAAGUCCCGCAACGAGCGCAACCCUUGUCUUAUGUUGCCAGCACGUGAUGGUGGGGACUCAUGAGAGACUGCCGGGGUUAACUCGGAGGAAGGUGGGAUGACGUCAAAUCAUCAUGCCCCUUAUGUCCAGGGCUUCACACAUGCUACAAUGGUCGGUACAACGCGUGUGCGACGCUGUGAGGUGAAGCUAAUCGCUCUAAAGCCGGUCGUAGUUCGGAUUGGGGUCUGCAACUCGACCCCAUGAAGUCGGAGUCGCUAGUAAUCGCAGAUCAGCAACGCUGCGGUGAAUACGUUCCCGGGCCUU
rnacentral:rRNA from 1 species